rnacentral:lncRNA from 1 species
GAAAGGGUUUGUGGGGGUGGGGGAUUGGUCUGGGAGUAAAGGAUGGUGGUCAUGGGGGAAUGGGAGGAGGAAUGGAGGACAUGGAAGGGGUUGGCAGUAGGUUUACUCUUUUUCUUCAAUUUUUUCUAAAAAAUAAUUUUUAACUAAAAAUUGGAUUAAAUGUUGAGAAUUUAGACAGUAGGGGGAAAUUGGCGAAAAAAAUAAGUUCAUAUCUUUAAUUUUC